CGACCGCCUGGGGAGUACGGCCGCAAGGUUAAAACUCAAAUGAAUUGACGGGGGCCCGCACAAGCGGUGGAGCAUGUGGUUUAAUUCGAUGCAACGCGAAGAACCUUACCUGGUCUUGACAUCCACAAAACCUUGUAGAGAUACGAGGGUGCCUUCGGGAACUGUGAGACAGGUGCUGCAUGGCUGUCGUCAGCUCGUGUUGUGAAAUGUUGGGUUAAGUCCCGCAACGAGCGCAACCCUUAUCCUUUGUUGCCA
rnacentral:rRNA from 1 species